GGAGAAAUACCCAAGUGGUGAAGGGGACGGUUUGCUAAACCGUUAGCAGGGGCGACUCUGGCGAGGGUUCAAAUCCCUCUUUCUCCGCCA
rnacentral:tRNA from 1 species